AGUGAUUGCGCCGGCGCCGCAUACGCACACAAUUAAACUUUGCUGCCUUGACAAUGCAGCCCGUUCAUUAUCAUCAUAAAAUACAGUCAGUCAAACAUACGGAAAAAACA